rnacentral:rRNA from 1 species
GACGAACGCUGGCGGCGUGCUUAACACAUGCAAGUCGAACGGAAAGGCCCUGCUUUUGUGGGGUGCUCGAGUGGCGAACGGGUGAGUAACACGUGAGUAACCUGCCCUUGACUUUGGGAUAACUUCAGGAAACUGGGGCUAAUACCGGAUAGGAGCUCCUGCUGCAUGGUGGGGGUUGGAAAGUUUCGGCGGUUGGGGAUGGACUCGCGGCUUAUCAGCUUGUUGGUGGGGUAGUGGCUUACCAAGGCUUUGACGGGUAGCCGGCCUUGGAGGGUGACCGGCCACAAUGGUACUGAGGUACGGACCAGACUCCUACGGGAGGCAACAGUGGGGAAUAUUGCACAAUGGGCGGAAGCCUGAUGCAGCAACGCCGCGUGCGUGAUGACGGCCUUCGGGUUGUAAACCGCUUUCGCCUGUGACGAAGCGUGAUUGACGGUAAUGGGUAAAGAAGCACCGGCUAACUACGUG